rnacentral:rRNA from 1 species
UGGGCAACCUGCCCCAGACACAGGGAUAACCCCGGGAAACCGGGGCUAAUACCGGAUACUCAGGUCGAGCCGCAUGACUCGAUCGGGAAAGCUCCGACGGUCUGGGAUGGGCCCGCGGCCUAUCAGCUUGUUGGUGGGGUAACGGCCUACCAAGGCGACGACGGGUAGCUGGUCUGAGAGGACGACCAGCCACACUGGAACUGAGAUACGGUCCAGACUCCUACGGGAG